rnacentral:rRNA from 1 species
GUUGGGUUAAGUCCCGCAACGAGCGCAACCCUUAUCCUUUGUUGCCAGCGGUCCGGCCGGGAACUCAAAGGAGACUGCCAGUGAUAAACUGGAGGAAGGUGGGGAUGACGUCAAGUCAUCAUGGCCCUUACGACCAGGGCUACACACGUGCUACAAUGGCGCAUACAAAGAGAAGCGACCUCGCGAGAGCAAGCGGACCUCAUAAAGUGCGUCGUAGUCCGGAUUGGAGUCUGCAACUCGACUCCAUGAAGUCGGAAUCGCUAGUAAUCGUGGAUCAGAAUGCCACGGUGAAUACGUUCCCGGGCCUUGUACACACCGCCCGUCACACCAUGGGAGUGGGUUGCAAAAGAAGUAGGUAGCUUAACCUUCGGGAGGGCGCUUACCACUUUGUGAUUCAUGACUGGGGUGAAGUCGUAACAAGGUAACCGUAGGGGAACCUGC